AAAGAUCCAUACGAUUACCCAUUCGGGGGGGAAAAAACAUACUAUUACAACAUAAAAAAAAAAAAAAAAUUGCAUGAAAUCGAGGGUGAAAACAUGAGUACAUAAUCUAAACUAACAUCGAUUAUUAAAAGCAAAAAGCUUAGAGCCUACAAACAUGAGUACAAGAUCUAAGCAAACAUGGAUUAUUAAAAGCAAGUAAGAACUGGCUUCACAAAGAGUAGGUGAGCAGUACAAGCUAGCGAUCGAUCCUACCAAGAUAGAAAUCUUACAUCUCUUAACGCGAUAAGGCCAACAUAACGAGGAGAGCCAUGACCAAAACAGGAAUAAAGAGAAAUAUCAUAGGCGGUGGUGGCAAUGGCGGCACUACCAGCGGCAACCAUAGAAGUAAAAACGUGCAUAUAGACAUUACCCCAAAGGCAAAAUACUUGUCCAUCAAAUUUGCAAAGAAGUAGCUUGUCGUUGAUUUAAUUAGCUCACGUGUGAGGGUUUCAUCUUUAUAUAGAACAUAGAUCUUAUGAUUGGAUAAUAGUGUUAAAGAAAUUAUCCCACGUCGAUUUAAAAUAGUUAGGUUAGUUAUACAUGUUUGAGGUGUAUAGAAC
rnacentral:lncRNA from 1 species